ensembl:lncRNA
AUGAUGCUGCUGCCCAGUCUGUUGUUGGCGCUGUGGGGUGAUCCGGGUCGGUGCCUGGAGGAGAACGGAGGCUUCACCUUUGAUGGAGACAUCCGCCGGUUCGCCGUGGCCUCCGACACGGUGUACGUCGCUACGGAGAAGACGCUGUACCAGCUGAGCCACGACCUGACUCAGGUCCACAGUCUGACUCUGAGAGGAAUGUUGACAGGGUCGCAUCAGACGAACGAGGAGCACUUUUCCCGGGUUGCUGAGACGGACGAGGCGAACGCAACGUUUGGUGUCCACAUAUUGUUGCCGUUUGUUAAGAACGAGUCUCUGGUCAUCUGCGGGGUGAUCGAGUGCGGUUACUGCGAGGUGCUGGACCUGAAGAACAUCUCCAAUGUGCAGUACAAUGAGCACAUCCAGGUGGGGUCCAUGUGGCCAGACAGCGCGUCCGUCGGCUUCCUGGUGGACGCGGAGGAAAGAAACAAGAGUUACAUUCUGACGGCCAAUCAGCAAUAUGAGCAUGAGCCAAGUAAGCCCCACUGCGUACAGGAAACAGACGCGGUGUACCUCCGUAAUACGCAACACAAUCAGGAAGGUGGUAUAUUCUCUAAGAAUGACCAAAACAUUGGCCCAUCAAUCCAACGAAUCAACGGCGAUGUCAAGUUUGUGGACGGGUUUCAGAUCAACUCAAGCAUUUAUCUUUUCUCCAACCUGCCCUCAAGUGACAAGAACAACAAAGUCCGUCUAAUUUGGCUCUGGGUACAAAAAAACAAAAAGGAGACUUUCCGCUCUCUCCGGGGCGCGACGCUCAUCAUCCCUGGAGGUGAUGGGGGUAAAGGCAGCGAGCUCCUCGCCUCCGCGGUGAUCCCCGGAGGGCCGCAGGUUCUGUGGAGCGGCGUGUUCCGCGUGGGCGGAGGACAAACCCCCACCGAGCUGGUGCUGUUUGACAUCAGCCCGGACCUCAGCGGAUCCUGUAAUGAUCCAGACUUCCACGUUGACUGCAAAGAUGAGGGAAACCUGACGGUGGGUCGUUUCAUAGAUUUUGGAUCAAUUGUGUUUUUCCAAGUUACACAAAUUAAAUUGUGGGCUCAUUUUGCGCACUGA